rnacentral:rRNA from 1 species
UACGUAGGUGGCAAGCGUUAUCCGGAAUUAUUGGGCGUAAAGCGCGCGCAGGCGGCUUCUUAAGUCUGAUGUGAAAGCCCCCGGCUCAACCGGGGAGGGUCAUUGGAAACUGGGAAACUUGAGUGCAGAAGAGGAAAGCGGAAUUCCACGUGUAGCGGUGAAAUGCGUAGAUAUGUGGAGGAACACCAGUGGCGAAGGCGGCUUUCUGGUCUGUAACUGACGCUGAGGCGCGAAAGCGUCGGGAGCAAACAGG